rnacentral:lncRNA from 1 species
CUGCUCUAUCGAAAUCAUAAAACUCCAUAAAACUCACCUUUCUCCAACAACCGGCCUCUUCAUCUUCCAUUAUUGAAGCCAUAAACUGACGUGAAAUCCCAUAAUCGUUCCUGAAAAUUCCAAAAUGAACUGGAGUGGGUCUUUUUUCAUCAACCUUUAGUUUAGGGUUUAGUUGAAUCGUGAGACCCUUCCCCAAGUUUAGUUGAAUCUUCUUCAAUCUUCUUCCUCUCAGGUAAGUUUAAUCGUGUUUUCAGUAACUUUUAG